GGACUACACGGGUAUCUAAUCCUGUUUGAUCCCCACGCUUUCGUGCAUCAGUGUCAAUAUUCGUGUAGCCAGCUGCCUUCGCAAUUGGUGUUCUAUGUCAUAUCUAAGCAUUUCACCGCUACAUGACAUAUUCCGCUGACCUCCACGGUAUUCAAGAUUGAUAGUAUCAAUGGCAGUUUCCAAGUUAAGCCUGGAGAUUUCACCACUGACUUACCAACCCACCUACGCACCCUUUAAACCCAGUGAAUCCGGAUAACGCUUGCACCCUCCGUAUUACCGCGGCGGCUGGCAC
rnacentral:rRNA from 2 species